rnacentral:misc_RNA from 1 species
UAAAUGCGAUACGUCAUGUGAUACGCAAGUUGUCGUGAAUCAUUGAAAUCUUGAACGCAAAUUGCACCUUGCGAUGAGUGAGGUAUGCAACCUGGAGGGGUGUAAUGAAAUUGAAUUAUUCAGAUUUGCGGGUGAAGCGAAAGUUGCUCCCGUUGAAAAUAAUUUCAAAAAUAAAAUAUUUUUAUAUUAAAAUGCGCCCUCCCUGUUGUAUGAAGUACCCGCUGAACUUAA